GUCCUUUUGUUUAUUUAUUUAAGGUUUGACCUGCCCAAUGAGGAAUUGAAUGGCCGCAGUAUUCUAACUGUGCUAAGGUAGCAUAAUCAUUUGUCUUUUAAUUGAGGGCUGGAAUGAAGGGUUGGACGAGGUAUUGACUUUCUUUAAUUUAAUUUGAGGAAUUUAAUUUUUGAGUUAAAAAGCUUAAAUUUAUUUAUGGGACGAGAAGACCCUAUAGAUCUUUAUAGUUUUAUAUUUUGGUAAUUUAGGGAUUUAUAUACUUUAAGUAGAUUAACUAUUUUGUUGGGGUGACUGUAGAAUUUAAAUAACUUCUAUUUUUUAUUUUCAUUAAUUAGUGUUUUUAUGAUCCAUAGUUUAUGAUUAGAAGAUUAAG
rnacentral:rRNA from 1 species